AGAACUGUACUUCAAUGGUAGAGCAUCUGCUUUACAUGCAAAUGGUCCCAGAUUCAAUCCCUGGCACCUCUA